ACUUCGGCUUGCUUUUUUGAUUUUGUUUUUUAAGUUUUAAAAAAGAAAAAGAGGAAGAACGCGAGCGCGGGGGGGGAAUUUUUUAUAAUAUCAAAGGAGGAAAAGAAACCACCAGGGAUUGCCCCAGUAACGGCGAGUGAAGCGGCAAAAGCUCAAAUUUGAAUUCCUGCGGGAAUUGUAAUUUGAAGGUUUCGUGGUCUGAGUCGGCCGCGCCCAAGUCCAUUGGACCAUGGCGCCUGGGAGGGUGAGAGCCCCUUCCGGCGCACGCCGACUCUUUGCACCGCGGUUCCGACGAGUCGAGUUGUUUGGGAAUGCAGCUUUAAGUGGGUGGUAAAUUCCAUCUAAAGCUAAAUAUUGGCGAGAGACCGAUAGCGAACAAGUACAGUGAUGGAAAGAUGAAAAGCACUUUGAAAAGAGAGUGAAACAGCACGUGAAAUUGUUGAAAGGGAAGGGCUUGCAAGCAGACACGGUUUUACCGGGCCAGCGUCAAAUAAACGGGGGGGAAAAGGGGGAAAGAAUGUGGCGCGUGCCUUCGGGUUCGCGUGUUAUAGCUUUCUCUAAUACCCCCAUGUUUGUUUGAGGCCUGCGAUCUAGGAUCGCUGCGUAAUGCAGCG
rnacentral:rRNA from 1 species